rnacentral:snRNA from 1 species
GUGCUCGAUUCUGCAGCAUGCAGACUAAAAUAGACACACAGAGAAGUUUUUCAUGGCCUCUAUGCAAAGAUGACACACAAAUUAAGUCCCAUUGGUAAUCCUA